UACGGAGGGUGCAAGCGUUAAUCGGAAUUACUGGGCGUAAAGCGUACGCAGGCGGUUUGUUAAGUCCGUUGUGAAAGCCCCGAGCUCAACUUGGGAAUUGCAGUGGAUACUGGCAGGCUGGAGUACGGUAGAGGAAGGUGGAAUUCCCGGUGUAGCAGUGAAAUGCGCAGAGAUCGGGAGGAACACCAGUGGCGAAGGCGGCCUUCUGGACCAGUACUGACGCUCAUGCACGAAAGCGUGGGGAGCAAACAGG
rnacentral:rRNA from 1 species